AUAGGCUAGUAGGUAGGGUAAAUGGGAGUUUCGGGAAUAGCUGCAGAAUGCUGUGAAUAAUAUUGCGUCCAUCGAAUAUUAUCGUAUAACCAGUAUUAUGCUGUUAUUCACCGAGACGCCCGAACGUUCAUCAUCGUCUGGUCCAC
rnacentral:precursor_RNA from 10 species